CUGGGGCAGGCAUUGAGUAAACAAGGACACAGUUACUGCUUCAGUGAAGCUGAUAGUCUAUUGGGGAGGACAGACAUUUGAAAGAUACCACAAGGUGAUUAAUUAUAAUCAUAAUAUAUACCAUGAAGGAAAAUUAGAGUUUUGUGAGAACAUGUAACUGGGGAACAUAAUGUGGCUGAAGUGGUCCUGCAGAUCAGCAAAGGCUUUCCUGAGAAAGAAACACUUAAGCUGGAACCUGAAGAAGUAGCCAGGCAAAGAGGAUGGCCAGGAGAAUUCCAGGGAGGCCCUUGAGAUGGGCAGAAGCCUUGUGCACUGGAGUACUCUGGCUCAGAACUCAAAGGUUAAAAUUCAAACAUAUUCUUAAUAAAGAAAAAGCAAGCAUGACGACCAGCAAGUGGUAUUUAAAAGAAUAUAAACUUGUCAGUGUUCUAGUGACAAACAUCAAAAGGCGAUCAGGAAAGUAUCCAAAACAAAACAAAACAAAAACCAGCCGGGGGGCGGUGGCUCACACCUGUAAUCCCAGCACUUUGGGAGGCCAAGGCAGGCAGGUCACCUGAGGUCAGGAGUUCAAGACCAGCCUGGGCAACAUGGUGAAACCCCAUCUCUAUAAAAAGAUACAAAAAUUAGCUGAGCAUGGUGGUGCAAGCCUGUAGUCCCAGCUACUCGGGAGGCUGAGGCAGGAGAGUCGCUUGAACCUGGGAGGCGGAGGUUGCAGUGAGCAAAGAUUGUGCCACUGCACUUCCAGCCUGGGUAACAGAGAGAGACUCCUUCUAAAAAUGGAGCAGAAGGGAGGGGAGGGGAGGGGAGAGGAGAAGAGAGGCUUUUAAUACAAACUAUAUCUUUCAAGAUCAAUACAAGGAGGUCCCAUUAAAAUCCUCCCAAAUUUCCAGAUGAGAUUUUUAAUUUUUUCUAGGCAACUAGCUAAUCUUUCUGCUGCUUAAGGAACUGUGAAAUAUUCCUUAAUCUCAUUUUUAUUCAGGAAGGCAUUUACACUGCAAAGCCUCAAGUAGGGGAUAUUCUGAGGGUGAGACCAAAAGAUUUUAAAUUUGAGGAUGAUCCACUUCACAACUUGAUUUUCUCGAGGAUAUUGUGAUAUUGCGCUUGACAGUUGUUUGCACUAGAUUUUUAAAAACUUCAAUAUCAUGAUUUUAUUCAAGCUUAUACACAAAGGCUAUCGAACAUUUCCAACAAAAUUCACAAAAUUUCCCUGAACAAAGGUGCAAGUAGAUUAUGUUAUGUUAGAGGAUGAAGACAGGCACAGGGUAUGCAGUCCAGAGUCCAGAGGUGUAUACAAGUGUAUACAAGUGGCCAUUACACAUUUUUUUUUGUUUGGGCAUUUUGCAUUUUUAUUUUUAUAAAUGAGUUUUCAGAUGUCAAAAAUUUCAUUGAAAAUUUAGAUGCAUAAUUUUUAUUGAAAUAGAAUUUGGCCAUGUUGAUCUUAAAUUUCCCUGUGGACAGUACAGAAAUCUCACUAAGGCUGUGACACCCCCUCUUGAUGAAAUGUGUACAUCCUAGAAAGUGCCUUGGGGUCCCACCGUUAUCUUCUAUUCAUCGCCCUACUCGUGCUUAUCAGAUUUGCCCAGCUCCUGUAGGAAUGACAGAAACUCAUCAAGUACAUAGCAACCCUAACAGAACAAAGAACAGGACUCUGCAGAGCACCGUUUGAAAACCAGUGAUCUAAUUCCAUCCUCUGGUGAGAAAAUGAGAUCCGGCCGGGACCAGUGGCUCACGCCUGUAAUCCUAGCACCUUGGGAUACCGAGGCAGGUGGAUCACCUGAGGCCAGGAGUUCGAGUCCAGCCUGCCCAACAUGGCGAAACUCCGUCUCCGCUAAAAUAAAAAAUACAAAAAUUAGCCGAGUGUGGUGGCUGACGCAUGUAGUCCCGGUUACUCGGGAGGCUGAGGCAAGAGAAUCACUUGAACCCAGGAGGCAGAGGUUGCAGUGAGCCGAGAUCACGCCACUGCAUUCCAGCCUGGGUGAGAUUCUGUCUCAAAAAAAAAAAAAAAGAAAGAAAAAGAAAAAGAAAUGAGAUCCAGAGAAACGAAGUUACUUGUUCAAGGUCAUUAGGAUUGAAAAUGAAGAGUCCUUACUUCCUUUGUAGUAAUAUGUAUAACACUUAAUUAUCCCAGAUAUAUUUUCUGGCAAGGUUCAUGGAAAAUAUGGUAAAAUAUUAUUUCAGUACCAUACUUCAAUACAAAAAAUUAAUAAAGUUGGACUUACUUCACCUCCGCCUGAAUUUUGUUUUACUUUAGCUAUUAUCUUU
rnacentral:lncRNA from 1 species